rnacentral:rRNA from 1 species
CAGCCGCCGCGGGAAUACGAGGGGGGCAAGCGUUGUUCGGAAUUAUUGGGCGUAAAGGGUGCGUAGGCGGUUUGGCAAGUUUGGUGUGAAAUCUUCGGGCUCAACUCGAAGUCUGCAUCGAAAACUGCCGGGCUUGAGUAUGGGAGAGGUGAGUGGAAUUUCCGGUGUAGCGGUGAAAUGCGUAGAUAUCGGAAGGAACACCUGUGGCGAAAGCGGCUCACUGGACCAUAACUGACGCUGAUGCACGAUAGCUAGGGGAGCAAACAGGAUUAGAUACCCCUGUAGUCCCUGUCUCUUAUAC